rnacentral:rRNA from 1 species
AUAACGACUUUCGGCAACGGAUAUCUCGGCUCUCGCAUCGAUGAAGAACGUAGCGAAAUGCGAUACUUGGUGUGAAUUGCAGAAUCCCGUGAACCAUCGAGUCUUUGAACGCAAGUUGCGCCCCAAGCCUUUAGGCCGAGGGCACGUCUGCCUGGGUGUCACG